UACGUAGGGGGCAAGCGUUGUCCGGAUUCAUUGGGCGUAAAGCGCGUGUAGGCGGCCCGGUAAGUCCGCUGUGAAAGUCGGGGGCUCAACCCUCGAAUGCCGGUGGAUACUGUCGGGCUAGAGUACGGAAGAGGCGAGUGGAAUUCCUGGUGUAGUGGUGAAAUGCGCAGAUAUCAGGAGGAACACCAAUUGCGAAGGCAGCUCGCUGGGACGUCACUGACGCUGAGACGCGAAAGCGUGGGGAGCAAACAGG
rnacentral:rRNA from 1 species